ensembl:lncRNA
AUGGAGGCUCUGUCAUCAUGCAAAGAAAUCUGCGCAAAGGAUCAUGGGAGCCCGAAGUGUCCAUCAGUUGUACCCUUCAAAAUCCUUCAUUCCGAAGGACCCUUUGAAGUGGCCAGUUUUGAGCACUUCAGUUUGGAACAACCCUUCAAUAUGGCGACCAUGAUUGUUUUAACUCCGAAGUGCCCUUUGGAGGGCGAUAUUUCCCUUUUGGAACGCACAGUUGUUCUUUUAAUUCAUGACUGUUUUUUUGUUUUGUUCUCUCUCUGUGGUGCUUCAGUGCCGUCAAUAAUAACCGGGGCUUACACUAUGCAUACAUCCCAUGUCAUCCGCCGGAACUGCUUCCGCCUACGACAGUUAGCAGAAGUGAGAAAAAGUGAGGAAUUCCCCCAAUAUAUUUGGCUGUUAUAAAGCAGAUGAUGCAUGGAUUAAGGAAUCGGCUCUGCUGGGCUAUGUCUCACUCAGACACACCUCCAGAGUUCUCAGCAAGCAGAGGUCAGAGAUGUUAUUUACAUUUUCAGACCAGCACUCCAGAUGUCCAUGGGUGAAGAGGUAAAGAAGGGGUGAUGGCUACUGGACUGAACCUUCUUCAAAAGACCACCACCACCAUCAUCAUCAUCAUCACUGUAUGUCACUCUUCAUUUUGACUGAACUUAAGUCCAGAACAAAUUGAGACAUAACCUGAGUAAUUGGUUCCAGGAGACUGUGGAGUGUUCCAGCUGGAGAUCAGGACCUGUGAGACUAGCUGCAACUGAAAAAAACUGUUAUGUUAAAGUCUGUGUGAAAAGGAAGCUGAGAUAGUCUUUUCUUCCCUAUUGUUACAUAUAUCCGAGUGAAACGGUUUAUUGAACAAGAAAAAAAAAAUAGGCCCUUGUGCUGGUGAACACAUCAUCAGAGAAGAGAUGUUUUUGCAAGUGGGAGGGGAGGUUAUUUUGAUUAAAGAUAAUGAGGGCACAUGAAUAACAUUUUUUUUUUAAAGUAUAACUAAUUUUGUCUGUUUUGAUUUAAUUGUGGUUUUAAAGCAACCAUGUACUUUUGAGUAUUUUUGCGACGUUGGAGCCCCCUACAGUUAUCGUCGUAAUUCCAGUGGAUCUCUGUACACAUGCAUUUGUUGCUGCUAUAAAGCAAUCCAUCCUUUUCGCGGAAUUUCGUAUCAGUUCGCCAAACCUACAAACUUCCAAAACAGACAUUUGAGGGAAGUAGUGAUGGGAGAAAUGAACCUUUCUCCCAUCGCAAAUGAUUCACUGCUUCGAAGCGCUCAAAACAUCACAUGCUAAUGACGCCUGCUGGUCAAAAUUGUGUAAAUUCAACAAAACCUUAGACUAAAACAUACUUAAAAACAGCUUUUUUAAAUGUGAAGUGUCUGUAUAAUAUGUGGUUUUCAAAUAUUUUACAGUAUAUUAAUUUGCAGGGCUCGUUUUGUUUGUUUUAUGGAGAGCUUGUAAAUAGAGACCAGUUAGACACCAUUAACUACUACUCAUCCUUUUAAUUACACAAAUGUCUCGUAAAAAGUCUACAAACUGAUGAAACAGGUUCCGAGAUCAGGUAAAAACCAUAGACGCUGGUUUAACAGUUGGUCACUGGAGGGUGAUUUCAAUUAACUUAAAUGCACGGGUUUACAGAGAUCGCCCCCUAAUGGUAAACCAUUGAAAUUUGGAAACGUUUCGAAACAGUUAUGGCGUAAUGAAGCCUCGUUUACUGAAUUCUGUGACAUCCAUCACUAGAGGGAAGUGUGUGAAAGUAACAACAGCAAUGCACCUAAAUUAGAAAUCAGUGUACCACCUGAAUGACUUUUUCACAUACCAAGUGCCAUAAAAGUCACCAAGUUUUGUACCUUUCUGGUGAAGCUAUGAUUUUUAAAAAUGUAAAAAGUUAAAUUCUCCAGUCAGAAGUGACCAAAGUCUACAGAAAGGUUAAAUGUUUAGAUGUCAUAUUAGAGUCAGCUUCAUGUUUUUACUAACAAAAUUAAAAAUUCCCCUUUUGCUUUUCAUUCACAUGUUUUUUCAAACAGGCAACAGACGGUGCUGGUAUUUCACAACGGUGUUGCCCAAUCCCAAAGCACAUCCAUCAGUUUAAUUGAAUCUUCAUUCUGACAGCACAAAUCCCUAAGAUAGCACUCAUUUAUACUUCCCUACAGAAAACACAGGGUCAAAACAUCAGUUGGAGACCCUUAUCUGCAUUCAUUUCAGUACACUCUAAACAUAUAAUGCACUUACAUUUGAGAUCCAAAGAAAAGGCAAAUGGUGAAACGAGUGGGCUUAUAAUACACACUUAUUAAAUAAAUGUUCAAAAAGAGUGUUUUUACA